CCCAACACAGCCUCAAGAUUUUGGAGUGGAAAUGAUUAGACAUGUGAGCCAAGGGACGUGCAGGCAAUCACGUAAAGCUCAGUGCCUCUAAGAAGAGAUGAAACUUAAUACAGCACCCGUGACUCAGAGCGGUAUUUGCAUAUCCUUGAUCAAGGAAAAAAAAAAGUGACUGGGAGCUCAAGAAGAGCGGGAUCUGGGAAGAGGCAAAAAGAAAAGUAUAGUCAGAAGUGGGUGAGGCUUUCCUCCCCUGGAACGUGCUGCUUUGCACCUGGAAAUGUCUGCCUAGGCACAGCCCCACCACCGCCCACUCUCCUCCCCAUGCUGGAUAUUCCCAUGCAGGCUGAUACAAGCAAGCAGAGACUGUGGGAUCUGGCUUUACCCUGUCUGGGCAAGAUGACUUUCUCAAGAUCAUCUUACACAUCCAUGCUAAUGCAGACAACAGAGGUUUUGUUACUCCCACAUUCUCCUUCUCUCUGCAGACCCUGGACACACAUCCUUUGGUUAUCUGCAUGAAUAGGCCUUUGAGGAUAAUUUUUGCUGAAGAUUUCUACAAGAAAUUCAGAGGAACUUAAAACCACAAGAUACACAAACAGCAAGUCUUAAGAUUCAAACUUCAAGGUUCGGACUCAUUUUAAGGCAUGGAAACAGCAUGGAAAACCACAGCCCAGUGCCCUCAAAUUUAUCAGCCUUCCUAGUAAUUGGAAAUUAAGUUUUAGAGCCAAGAUGCCAGGUCAGUGUGAACAAUCAGAAGUGGUCCCAGCUCAACCCAUCACUGUUUCCGGGCAGUUUGAUUGAAAUGUCAGCUCUCCUGGAUCUGAUCAUCCAGCACACAAGCUGCAGAAUGUGUGACUGUUCAUUUCAGCGCCUUAUCGCUCUCAUCUUACACUUAGUCCUUUCCAAUAGACUUUGCUGUUUGUCAUGUAGAUACUUAUUAACCCAAAUUAAUCAUUUGGACAUCACUGGCUUGGUUUCUUAUCUGGAAAUUAUAUUGUGAUCAUAUUUUACAUGCACACACAAAUUAAUGCAUGAAACAGAAAAGAAGACCCUGCUAAGCCCAGGCAGUAUAACAAAUACUUCCUCUUCCAGGUGACACAUCUGCAAGGCCUCCCUAUUAAUGCAUAUUUUCACCAACAUUUAUUGAGAUGAAAAUAAGUUCUUGGGAUGCCUCAUUUUUAAACACACCGACCCUGUGAAAGGUUCUCUACAGGCACAGACCAGUAAUUGUCAGUCUAAAAAGGCAACUGUACUAUGUAGUAAAUGUCUGUGUCCAUGCAAAACACACAUAGAAAUCAGUAUAUGCACAUAGAGUUUGUUCAGUAGUUGGUGGUCCUCAGACCUUUCCCAUCUUCUGUCAAAUAUAUCAAAUCACAUCUCCUGAUCUCCAAGAUUAUCCAAAAUCACAGGAUUUACCUUGCACUGUCCUGCAUACACAGUAUACUGCAACACCACACCCUGUUUCCAGCCCAUUAAAACAAGAGCCAAGCUAAUGAAUCCUUUAAUAAGGUCAUCAACCACCCCAGGGCACCGUACAUGACUAAUUGGGUAGAUAGUCACAUGCAGGGCAUCAUCUCUUCAAGCUGGAAGACUGGGGCAGUGUGCUGCAGGUGAGACCUACCCUUGCCAACCAAGCUAUACAAUUAUGGGUGGGGUUGCAGACCCUCACCUUUAUAUCGUGAGUUCUCCCAUUGCACAAGCCAACCCUUCACUCAUCUCUUGUCAUGUGGCUCUGUGUCCCACAUGCUGCAGUGGGUCCUUCCAUCAAGCCAUUCUGCAAGGAAUCUGAGGCAAAGAAAAACAGCUGAUUAGGGGAAAAAAAAAAACACAAGAAAAAGGCAAAUA